GAAGUGUUUGAUUUUGGCUUGGUUUUUACGUUAUUGUUAAAAUUGUAUGAAAGUUAUAGCGUGUUUAGAGAGUUUGGUUUUAUAUUGAAUUUCGAUUAGUGAGUAAGUAAAUUAUAAAAUUAUAUGGUCUCAGCAUGAAUUAUUAAAAUGAUAUAUAAAAGUAUGAAUUAGUAACAAUAAAAAGUCUGAUAAAUAUUU
rnacentral:rRNA from 1 species